GCACUGCUGAGGAGUCCCACAAUGGGACGAAACGUCCGUUCAGUGC
rnacentral:hammerhead_ribozyme from 1 species